rnacentral:rRNA from 1 species
AUUGAACGCUGGCGGCAGGCUUAACACAUGCAAGUCGAGCGGAGGGAGGUUGCUUGCACCUUAGCUUAGCGGCGGACGGGUGAGUAAUGCUUAGGAAUCUGCCUAUUAGUGGGGGACAACAUUCCGAAAGGGAUGCUAAUACCGCAUACGUCCUACGGGGGAAAGCAGGGGAUCUUCGGACCUUGCGCUAAUAGAUGAGCCUAAGUCGGAUUAGCUAGUUGGUGGGGUAAAGGCCUACCAAGGCGACGAUCUGUAGCGGGUCUGAGGGGAUGAUCCGCCACACUGGUACUGAGACACGGCCCAGACUCCUACGGGAGGCAGCAGUGGGGAAUAUUGGACAAUGGGGGGAAGCCUGAUCCAGCCAUGCCGCGUGUGUGAAGAAGGCCUUUUGGUUGUAAAGCACUUUAAGCGAGGAGGAGGCUACUAGUAUUAAUACUACUGGAUAGUGGACGUUACUCGCAGAAUAAGCACCGGCUAACUCUGUGCCAGCCGCCGCGGUAACAC